AGCUGUGCUCUGAACAUGUCAAUUUUGGAUAAUUUCGGUACUUCCACAUGAAAAUAAUUACUUGGCUGUUCAGUUAAAUGUCAUACAAAUGUGUGCUACUGUCAUCCGGAGUGUAGUAUUCAGGAGGGGGUCACCGUCUCACAUUUAGGCUGGUUUAUCAGGCUGAUCAUGUUGGUUUGCACGGAUCCGUCGCCGGGGACAAGGCUACCUCUUCAAAGACCCGCCAAUCAUGUGUUGUGAAACAAACGACGUGAAGGCCUACUUUAGAAUUACAAGGACUACAGAAGAAAUGGGAUCCCAAAUUGAAACUGGAAGCAGAUCAUGGGUCACACCCAAUGAUACACCGCUGAGCGAAAAAGAGAUGCAAUACUUCACACCCUGAAGAUGUACCUGGGGGGAAUUGCCAGAAGAUUUCUUUUUGUG